CUGAAGUGGAGAAAUCAGGCUGCUUCUUCACACUGCAUACAGUGGUCUGAAAAGAAAAGUGAUAGUCACAGGGGACUGUCACCACAGGCCAAUUCCUACUCAUCCUUCAAAAUUUAGCUUUGGAUAUUAUCCCCUCUGAGAAAAUCUCCAUGGUGUCUGAUGCCUCAUGCCCUGUUAGGGCAGCCUCUCAGACUGCUGACUGGAAGGGUCCUAAAAAUACCACCACUAGAACCAUGGAUGACUAUGCUCAGAUUUGGGAUGGGUUUAUAUGGCUUACCCCUGGUUAUGGAUAUUUGAACACCUGGACACCUCUAUGUUGGGAACAGAAAAAUCAUUCUUAACAGAACCAACCCAAUUGUACAAGGAAUAUGGGAUGGCUAUCAUUGGAACUGUGCAGUUAUUCUGUCCUAUUAAAGGUUAACAACUGGUUAGGCAUUGACUGGUCAUGCCACUUUGGUAAGUAUUAGGUAACCCUGAAUGGGAGCCAGCGGUGAUGUGGCAUAAUUCUUUGGCAACGGCUGCAUCCUCGGUUUUCCCUGGGCACAGGUGAGAGUCUGCCCCACAGUAACAACAAUUACAAACCUCCUUUCCCUCCAGGCCAGGUGAGCACAUUCCAUUUUCCACUGGUACAAUUACUUGGCCACCAACUUUGUCUCUUCCAAUGGCCGGAGGGUGUUACAGCACAUGCAGAAGGCCUUACUGCAUUCACCCAGCAAGCCUUGGCUGACAGCCAACAAGUCUGUCCAUACUCAACACUGAAGCGUCUCUAAUAAAAAAGCUGUAUUCCAAAUAGAAUGGCCUUGGACAUUAUUAUUGCCUUACAAGGAGGAAACUGAACCAUUAUCCAAACAGAAUGUGUAUUCAUAUGUGAUUAUGAGUCCGCUAAUGUAUCAUGUUUGCUAAGCCACAUGAGGACAAGAAGUGUCCUCGCCAAGGGAAUUUAAGAAAUCAGUUGUUUGGAUCAUGCGGCUCCUAAUCAGUGUAUCUCAAUCUGUGCUUUCUCCUGCUUGUGCCUGUAUUGUUGCUGGGGUGUCUGCCUCUGAUGCAGCCAGACAGCUGUCAAACGGGCCACUUCCAUGCUAGUGAAACCCCUUGCUGACCACUCAAGGCACAGUGCAGGAGACAGGGGCAUGUGAGAUUGUAUGAGCUGUCCCCGGGGCUGGAAUGUCCUCGAGAGGACGUGACCACACGGUGACAACCACGCUGGACCCUUGGAGGCUCAUCACUUUCUCCCAUCCUUAAAAAGUGCAUUCUGCUUGCCUUCCUCAUGCUGGAAGCUGCCAGAGGGCACAGCCUUGAGAGAGCACAUUGUUACUAAGAACUUCUGGACAGUGUAUGUCCACACUGAACCCAGUUAAGGCCUCUAUAUAGACUUUUAAGUUUCUGGCAGGUGAGUGCAGAGAUGUAUUCAUCUGUCGAGGUCUGAAACAAGCCUCAUAUGUAAGUUCCCUUUCUUAUUAGGCCUGCCACCUACCAAACUGGAAUGGCAUUCCUCUUUCUUCAUUCUCUCCCUGCCCUCCGUGUCUGUGUGCCAGUUUCAGAUUACACCCAGGAAGCUCCUGAAGUUGUGAACUAACACUCCUCAUCUAGUUGCCGCAAGGGUACCAAAUAUCAAGGAAGCAGG